rnacentral:rRNA from 1 species
GAUGAACGCUGGCGGCGUGCCUAAUACAUGCAAGUCGAGCGCAUAGCGAAAGGUGCUUGCACCUUUCAAGUGAGUGGCGAACGGGUGAGUAACACGUGGACAACCUGCCUCAAGGCUGGGGAUAACAUUUGGAAACAGAUGCUAAUACCGAAUAAAACUUAGUGUCGCAUGACACAAAGUUAAAAGGCGCUUCGGCGUCACCUAGAGAUGGAUCCGCGGUGUAUUAGUUAGUUGGUGGGGUAAAGGCCUACCAAGACAAUGAUGCAUAGCCGAGUUGAGAGACUGAUCGGCCACAUUGGGACUGAGACACGGCCCAAACUCCUACGGGAGGCUGCAGUAGGGAAUCUUCCACAAUGGGCGAAGGCCUGAUGGAGCAACGCCGCGUGUGUGAUGAAGGCUUUCGGGUCGUAAAGCACUGUUGUAUGGGAAGAACAGCUAGAAUAGGAAAUGAUUUUAGUUUGACGGUACCAUACCAGAAAGGGACGGCUAAAUACGUG